rnacentral:rRNA from 1 species
AGAGUUUGAUCAUGGCUCAGAACGAACGCUGGCGGCGUGCCUAACACAUGCAAGUCGAGCGAGAAAGUCCGCAAGGAUGAGUAAAGCGGCGCACGGGUGCGUAACACGUGGGUAAUCUUCCUUGGAGCCCGGAAUAACUCCCCGAAAGGGGUGCUAAUGCCGGAUAAGCUCACGGGGGCCUCGGCCCCUGUGGGAAAAGGUGGCCUCUGCACGCAAGCUAUCACUCCUAGAUGAGCCCGCGGCCCAUCAGCUAGUUGGCGGGGUAAUGGCCCACCAAGGCUACGACGGGUAGCUGGUCUGAGAGGACGAUCAGCCACACUGGAACUGAGACACGGUCCAGACUCCUACGGGAGGCAGCAGUGGGGAAUCUUGCGCAAUGGGCGAAAGCCUGACGCAGCAACGCCGCGUGUGUGAUGAAGGUCUUCGGAUCGUAAAGCACUGUCGGGAGGGACGAAUAAGGCCGGAGCUAACAUCUCCGGUCGAUGACGGUACCUCCAAAGGAAGCACCGGCUAACUCUGUGCCAGCAGCCGCGGUAAUACAGAGGGUGCUAGCGUUGUUCGGAAUUAUUGGGCGUAAAGCGCGUGUAGGCGGCCAGGCAAGUCGGGUGUGAAAGCCCUCAGCUUAACUGAGGAAGUGCGCCCGAAACUACUUGGCUUGAGUACCGGAGAGGGUGGCGGAAUUCCCGGUGUAGAGGUGAAAUUCGUAGAUAUCGGGAGGAACACCAGUGGCGAAGGCGGCCACCUGGACGGCUACUGACGCUGAGACGCGAAAGCGUGGGGGAGCAAACAGGAUUAGAUACCCUGGUAGUCCACGCUGUAAACGAUGAGCGCUAGGUGUUGCGGGUGUUGACCCCUGCAGUGCCGCAGCUAACGCAUUAAGCGCUCCGCCUGGGAAGUACGGCCGCAAGGCUAAACUCAAUGAAUUGACGG